UGUGACUGGACUCAAACGUGACGUACGAAGAGAGAACAGGACGCCCGUCAACCUCCACCACUGACGAGAAAAUUCAGUAAGCUCGAGAGAUGGUAAUGGUGAACCGGUUCAUCAUUACCAUCUCUCAGAUCACUGAUCUUUGUUCUUCGUUGGUGCACAUUGCUAGUGGAGGGGCUGUGUUUACACUGUAACGCCAGAAAGAAAAAUGGCGCAAUCGGAUUCAAACUUCGAUCAUGUGACCACAAUAGUACCAACUAUAAGCAU